rnacentral:rRNA from 1 species
GACGAACGCUGGCGGCGUGCUUAACACAUGCAAGUCGAGCGGUAAGGCCCUUUCGGGGGUACGACGAGCGGCGAACGGGUGAGUAACACGUGGGUGACCUGCCCUCAGCUCUGGGAUAAGCCUGGGAAACCGGGUCUAUACUGGAUAUGACUCCAUGACGCAUGUUGUGGGGUGGAAAGCCUUGUGCGGCUGAGGAUGGGCCCGCGGCCUAUCAGCUUGUUGGUGGGGUGAGGCCUACCAAGGCGACGACGGGUAGCCGGCCUGAGAGGGCGACCGGCCACACUGGGACUGAGACACGGCCCAGACUCCUACGGGAGGCAGCAGUGGGGAAUCUUGCGCAAUGGGCGAAAGCCUGACGCAGCGACGCCGCGUGAGGGAUGACGGCCU